GAUGAACGCUGGCGGCGUGCUUAACACAUGCAAGUCGAACGGGAAACCUUUUAUUGAAGCUUCGGCAGAUUUAGCUGGUUUCUAGUGGCGGACGGGUGAGUAACGCGUGGGUAACCUGCCUUGUACCGGGGGAUAACAGUCAGAAAUGACUGCUAAUACCGCAUAAGCGCACGGAGCUGCAUGGCUCAGUGUGAAAAACACCGGUGGUAUAAGAUGGACCCGCGUUGGAUUAGCUAGUUGGUGAGGUAACGGCCCACCAAGGCGACGAUCCAUAGCCGGCCUGAGAGGGUGAACGGGCACAUUGGGACGGAGACACGGCCCAGACUCCUACGGGAGGCAGCAGUGGGGAAUAUUGCACAAUGGGGGAAACCCUGAUGCAGCGAGGCCGCGUGAAGGAAGAAGUAUCUCGGUAUGUAAACUUCUAUCAGCAGGGAAGAAAAUGACGGUACCUGACUAAGAAGCCCCGGCUAACUACGUGCCAGCAGCCGCCGUAA
rnacentral:rRNA from 1 species